GCGCAUCAUGAGCGUAAGGCAAAUUCGCGAGCGUGAAGGUCAUGGGGUCAGCUUCCGGAAAUUGUGGAUGACGAGGUGUCAACGCGGCGCACUAUAGAAGGUUUCCCGGAGAGGGAAACAGGGUUGCUGCCCGGAAUCAUGACGAUGGCCCGGCCANCAGAGCGGUAUUGCCGGGCCAUCGUUUUUACAGAUCGCCUUAUUCAGACAGCCUCUUAAGC
rnacentral:misc_RNA from 1 species